rnacentral:misc_RNA from 1 species
GAAAUGCGAUAAGUAGUGUGAAUUGCAGAAUCCAGUGAAUCAUCGAAUCUUUGAACGCACAUUGCGCCCCUUGGUAUUCCAUGGGGCAUGCCUGUUCGAGCGUCAUUUGUACCCUCAAGCUCUGCUUGGUGUUGGGUGUUUGUCCCCGUCUCCGCGCGUGGACUCGCCCCAAAGUGAUUGGCAGCCGGCGUACUGGUCCCGGAGCGCAGCACAUGUCGCGCAAACGAGUGCCUUGGUACGGCGGCGUCCAUAAGCCCCUCUCUCACGCUCUUGACCUCGGAUCAGGUAGGGAUACCCGCUGAACUUAAGC